GGGCAUGUAGCUCAAUUGGUUAGAGCACCAAGCUUAUAUCUUGGCGGUUUCCAGGUUCGAGUCCUGGCAUGCCCA
rnacentral:tRNA from 1 species